rnacentral:rRNA from 1 species
GAUGAACGCUGGCGGCGUGCUUAACACAUGCAAGUCGAACGGUGAACGAGGGAGCUUGCUCCCUCCGGAUCAGUGGCGAACGGGUGAGUAACACGUGAGCAAUCUGCCCUGGACUCUGGGAUAAGCGUUGGAAACGACGUCUAAUACCGGAUACGAGGCGUGGGGGCAUCCCCAACGCCUGGAAAGAACUUCGGUCCAGGAUGAGCUCGCGGCCUAUCAGGUAGUUGGUGAGGUAAUGGCUCACCAAGCCUACGACGGGUAGCCGGCCUGAGAGGGUGACCGGCCACACUGGGACUGAGACACGGCCCAGACUCCUACGGGAGGCAGCAGUGGGGAAUAUUGCACAAUGGGCGAAAGCCUGAUGCAGCAACGCCGCGUGAGGGACGACGGCCUUCGGGUUGUAAACCUCUUUUAGCAGGGAAGAAGCGAAAGUGACGGUACCUGCAGAAAAAGCACCGGCUAACUACGUGCCAGCCGCCGCCGUAACAC